AUUGAACGCUGGCGGCAUGCCUUACACAUGCAAGUCGAACGGCAGCGGACCUUCGGGUGCCGGCGAGUGGCGAACGGGUGAGUAAUAUAUCGGAACGUACCUUUCAGUGGGGGAGUAACGUAGCGAAAGUUACGCUAAUACCGCAUAUUCUGUGAGCAGGAAAGCAGGGGAUCGCAAGACCUUGCGCUGAUUGAGCGGCCGAUAUCAGAUUAGCUAGUUGGUGAGGUAAAGGACUCACCAAGGCGACGAUCUGUAGCGGGUCGUGAGAGGAUGAUCCGCCACACUGGAACUGAGACACGGUCCAGACUCCUACGGGAGGCAGCAGU
rnacentral:rRNA from 1 species